rnacentral:rRNA from 1 species
GACGAACGCUGGCGGCGUGCUUAACACAUGCAAGUCGAACGGAAAGGCUCCAGCUUGCUGGAGUACUCGAGUGGCGAACGGGUGAGUAACACGUGGGUAAUCUGCCCUGCACUCUGGGAUAAGCCUGGGAAACUGGGUCUAAUACUGGAUAUGACCUUUCUCCUUAUGGGGUUUGGUGGAAAGUUUUUCGGUGUAGGAUGAGCCCGCGGCCUACCAGCUUGUUGGUGGGGUGAUGGCCUACCAAGGCGACGACGGGUAGCCGGCCUGAGAGGGUGAUCGGCCACAUUGGGACUGAGAUACGGCCCAGACUCCUACGGGAGGCAGCAGUGGGGAAUAUUGCACAAUGGGCGGAAGCCUGAUGCAGCGACGCCGCGUGAGGGAUGACGGCCUUCGGGUUGUAAACCUCUUUCAGCAGGGACGAAGCGUAAGUGACGGUACCUGCAGAAGAAGCACCGGCUAACUACGUG